rnacentral:rRNA from 1 species
GGGUUGUGAGGUUAAGCGACUAAGCGUACACGGUGGAUGCCCUGGCAGUCAGAGGCGAUGAAGGACGUGCUAAUCUGCGAAAAGCGUCGGUAAGGUGAUAUGAACCGUUAUAACCGGCGAUGUCCGAAUGGGGAAACCCAGUGUGAUUCGUCACACUAUCGUUAACUGAAUACAUAGGUUAACGAGGCGAACCGGGGGAACUGAAACAUCUAAGUACCCCGAGGAAAAGAAAUCAACCGAGAUUCCCCCAGUAGCGGCGAGCGAACGGGGAGCAGCCCAGAGUCUGAAUCAGCUUGUGUGUUAGUGGAACGGUCUGGAAAGUCCGACGGUACAGGGUGAUAGUCCCGUACACCAAAAUGCACAGGCUGUGAACUCGAAGAGUAGGGCGGGACACGUGGUAUCCUGUCUGAAUAUGGGGGGACCAUCCUCCAAGGCUAAAUACUCCUGACUGACCGAUAGUGAACCAGUACCGUGAGGGAAAGGCGAAAAGAACCCCGGCGAGGGGAGUGAAAAAGAACCUGAAACCGUGUACGUACAAGCAGUGGGAGCACCUUCGGGUGUGACUGCGUACCUUUUGUAUAAUGGGUCAGCGACUUAUAUUCUGUAGCAAGGUUAACCGUAUAGGGGAGCCGCAGGGAAACCGAGUCUUAACUGGGCGUUAAGUUGCAGGGUAUAGACCCGAAACCCGGUGAUCUAGCCAUGGGCAGGUUGAAGGUUGGGUAACACUAACUGGAGGACCGAACCGACUAAUGUUGAAAAAUUAGCGGAUGACUUGUGGCUGGGGGUGAAAGGCCAAUCAAACCGGGAGAUAGCUGGUUCUCCCCGAAAGCUAUUUAGGUAGCGCCUCGUGAACUCAUCUUCGGGGGUAGAGCACUGUUUCGGCUAGGGGGUCAUCCCGACUUACCAACCCGAUGCAAACUACGAAUACCGAAGAAUGUUAUCACGGGAGACACACGGCGGGUGCUAACGUCCGUCGUGAAGAGGGAAACAACCCAGACCGCCAGCUAAGGUCCCAAAGUCAUGGUUAAGUGGGAAACGAUGUGGGAAGGCACAGACAGCCAGGAUGUUGGCUUAGAAGCAGCCAUCAUUUAAAGAAAGCGUAAUAGCUCACUGGUCGAGUCGGCCUGCGCGGAAGAUGUAACGGGGCUAAACCAUGCACCGAAGCUGCGGCAGCGACACUAUGUGUUGUUGGGUAGGGGAGCGUUCUGUAAGCCUGCGAAGGUGUGCUGUGAGGCAUGCUGGAGGUAUCAGAAGUGCGAAUGCUGACAUAAGUAACGAUAAAGCGGGUGAAAAGCCCGCUCGCCGGAAGACCAAGGGUUCCUGUCCAACGUUAAUCGGGGCAGGGUGAGUCGACCCCUAAGGCGAGGCCGAAAGGCGUAGUCGAUGGGAAACAGGUUAAUAUUCCUGUACUUGGUGUUACUGCGAAGGGGGGACGGAGAAGGCUAUGUUAGCCGGGCGACGGUUGUCCCGGUUUAAGCAUGUAGGCUGAUUGUCCAGGCAAAUCCGGAUAAUCAAGGCUGAGGUGUGAUGACGAGGCACUACGGUGCUGAAGUAACAAAUGCCCUGCUUCCAGGAAAAGCCUCUAAGCAUCAGGUAACAUUAAAUCGUACCCCAAACCGACACAGGUGGUCAGGUAGAGAAUACCAAGGCGCUUGAGAGAACUCGGGUGAAGGAACUAGGCAAAAUGGUGCCGUAACUUCGGGAGAAGGCACGCUGGUGUGUAGGUGAAGUCCCUGCGGAUGGAGCUGAGACCAGUCGAAGAUACCAGCUGGCUGCAACUGUUUAUUAAAAACACAGCACUGUGCAAACACGAAAGUGGACGUAUACGGUGUGACGCCUGCCCGGUGCCGGAAGGUUAAUUGAUGGGGUUAUCCGUAAGGAGAAGCUCUUGAUCGAAGCCCCGGUAAACGGCGGCCGUAACUAUAACGGUCCUAAGGUAGCGAAAUUCCUUGUCGGGUAAGUUCCGACCUGCACGAAUGGCGUAAUGAUGGCCAGGCUGUCUCCACCCGAGACUCAGUGAAAUUGAACUCGCUGUGAAGAUGCAGUGUACCCGCGGCAAGACGGAAAGACCCCGUGAACCUUUACUAUAGCUUGACACUGAACAUUGAGCCUUGAUGUGUAGGAUAGGUGGGAGGCUUUGAAGCGUGGACGCCAGUCUGCGUGGAGCCAACCUUGAAAUACCACCCUUUAAUGUUUGAUGUUCUAACGUUGGCCCCUGACCGGGGUUGCGGACAGUGUCUGGUGGGUAGUUUGACUGGGGCGGUCUCCUCCCAAAGCGUAACGGAGGAGCACGAAGGUUAGCUAAUCCUGGUCGGACAUCAGGAGGUUAGUGCAAUGGCAUAAGCUAGCUUGACUGCGAGCGUGACGGCGCGAGCAGGUGCGAAAGCAGGUCAUAGUGAUCCGGUGGUUCUGAAUGGAAGGGCCAUCGCUCAACGGAUAAAAGGUACUCCGGGGAUAACAGGCUGAUACCGCCCAAGAGUUCAUAUCGACGGCGGUGUUUGGCACCUCGAUGUCGGCUCAUCACAUCCUGGGGCUGAAGUAGGUCCCAAGGGUAUGGCUGUUCGCCAUUUAAAGUGGUACGCGAGCUGGGUUUAGAACGUCGUGAGACAGUUCGGUCCCUAUCUGCCGUGGGCGCUGGAGAAUUGAGGGGGGCUGCUCCUAGUACGAGAGGACCGGAGUGGACGCAUCACUGGUGUUCGGGUUGUCAUGCCAAUGGCACUGCCCGGUAGCUAAAUGCGGAAGAGAUAAGUGCUGAAAGCAUCUAAGCACGAAACUUGCCCCGAGAUGAGUUCUCCCUGAGACUAUAAGUCUCCUGAAGGAACGUUAAAGACGAUGACGUUGAUAGGCCGGGUGUGUAAGCGCAGCGAUGCGUUGAGCUAACCGGUACUAAUGAACCGUGAGGCUUAACCUUACAACGCCGAAG